AAAACACCUUCCACUGUGACAGGCCUGUCUCUCUGGGCCUUUCUGGGGAUUUCCAGAUAGCACACUGGCUCUGAACCAUUGUCUGGCUUUUGUAGGAUGCUAACCCUGAAGUGAGUCACACAGUG
rnacentral:snoRNA from 1 species